CACGCAGGCGGUCUGUCAAGUCGGAUGUGAAAUCCCCGGGCUCAACCCAUAAACUGCUUUCAAAACUGUUUUUCUUGAGUAGUGCAGAGGUAGGCGGAAUUCCCGGUGUAGCGGUGGAAUGCGUAGAUAUCGGGAGGAACACCAGUGGCGAAGGCGGUCUACUGGGCACCAACUGACGCUGAGGCUCGAAAGCAUGGGUAAGCAAACA
rnacentral:rRNA from 1 species